rnacentral:rRNA from 1 species
GAUAAACGCUAGCGGCCGGCUUAACACAUGCAAGUCGAGGGGCAGCAUAGAUUGUAGCAAUACAAUUGGUGGCGACCGGCGCACGGGUGCGUAACGCGUAUGCAACCUACCCGUCACAGGGGGAUAAUCCGGAGAAAUCUGGUCUAAUACCCCAUAACAUAUGGAUCGGCAUCGGUUCAUGUGGAAAUUUUCGGAGGUGACGGAUGGGCAUGCGUAGCAUUAGCUUGUUGGUGAGGUAACGGCUCACCAAGGCGACGAUGCUUAGGGGUACUGAGAGGUUUUCCGCCCACGCUGGAACUAAGACACGGACCAGACUCCUACUGGAGGCAUCAGUGAGGAAUAUUGGUCAAUGGGCGCAAGCCUGAACCAGCCAUGCCGCGUGCAGGAUGACGUCUCUAUGAGUUGUAAACUGCUUUUGUACGAGGGUAAAGUGGGUUACGUGUAACCUUUUGAAAGUAUCGUACGAAUAAGGAUCGGCUAACUCCGUGCCAGCCGCCGCCGUAA